rnacentral:sRNA from 1 species
GCCAGGCAUGGUGGUGCAUACCUGUAAUCCCAGCAACUCAGGAGGCUGAGGCAGAAGGAUCUCAAGUUCCAGGCCAGCAUGGGCAACUUGGUGAGGCUCUGUCUCAA